AGCCGCGCUCUGUGCCGACUGACGCCCGCCGCUCACCGCCCGGAGCUGACGGUCCCACCACGCUCGCCGCCGCCACUGCCGGCACGACAGAAAAGGAGUCCACUUGCAGACAAGCAAAAGCUAAGAGAAUUCAGCACCACCAAACCAGCUUUACAACAAAUGCUAAAGAAACUUCUCUAAGUGAGAAACACAAGAGAAGAAAAAGACCUACAAAAACAAACCCAAAACAAUUAAGAAAAUGAUAAGAGGAACAUACAUAUAGAUAAUGACCUUGAAUGUAAAUGGAUUAAACGCCCCAACCAAAAGACACAGACUGGCUGAAUGGAUACAAAAACAAGACCCAUAUAUUUGCUGUCUACAACAGACCCACUUCAGACCUAGGGACAUGUACAGACUGAAAGUGAACGGAUGAAAAAGAUAUUCCAUGCAAAUGGAAAUCAAAAGAAAGCUGGAAUAGCAAUACUCAAUCAGGUAAAAUAGACUUUAAAAUAAAGACUGUUACAAGCGAUAAGGAAGGACACUACAUAAUGAUCAAGGGAUCAAUCCAAGAAGAAGAUAUAACAAUUGUAAAUAUUUAUGCACCCAACAUAGGAGCACCUCAAUACAUAAGGUAAAUGCUAACAACCAUGAAAGGAGAAAUUGACAGUAACACAAUAAUAGUAGGGGACUUUAACACCCCACUUACACCAAUGGACACAUCGUCCAAAUAGAAAAUAAAUAAGGAAACACAAGCUUUAAAUGACACAAUAGACCAGAUCGAUUUAAUUGGUAUUUAUAGAACAUUCCACCUGAAAGUGGCAGAAUACACUUUCUUCUCAAGGGCACAGGGAACAUCUCCAGGAUAGGUCACAUUGUGGGUCACAAAUCAAGCCUCGGAAAAUUUAAGAAUAUUGAAAUCAUAUCAAACAUCUUUUCUGACCACAGCGCUAUGAGAUUGGAAAUCAAUUACAGGAAAAAAACUGUAAAAACCACAAAUACAUGGAGCCUAAACACUGCACUACUAAAUAACCAAGAGAUCACUGAAGAAAUC
rnacentral:lncRNA from 1 species